CUGUUACCUCCUUGCACACAUCUGUGCCCAUCAUAAGCCAAACAAUUACGCGCUCCCGCGCGCCCGCCUCGAGGUCCGGGUGGCGGCUGCGGCCUGGCCAGGACCCCCCACUCCUCCCGCUGCCAAAGCUCUGGAGCCAGCUCGGGCCGGAGGCCACCGCCGGCCACCGCUUGGCAGCUCGCACUGGUGCUCAGUGUGUCGCCCAUGUGCUCGGCCGGCUCCGCAGCACAACCCUGUAGGGCUCAGCGCUGGCCAGCCCGAGGCCUGCCUUGCCAGCGGCGCCACCGAGCUCCUCGAGGCCCGAGGCCGCCAAAGGCGGGAAGACACGGCGGCGGGGAGCCAGGGUCGCAACGCUGAGGCCCCGAGGGGGCGACGCUCGGCUCCCGUCGGGCGUGGCGAGCGGCAGUGGAUUCACUCACCACGGUUCGGCGGGGCAGCGCGCCGGGGGUCCGAGACAGGGCCCGGCGCAGCCUCCGCGCCCUGCCCGAGCGGGUCCCGGCCGAGCUCUCGGAGCCACUGUCGUCGGAGAUCACGAUAAAGUCCUCCAUGGCUACGGGCCCGGCGGAGCCACGCGCGAGCGGCGAGCGGCCCCGGCGACUCCGACUCCGGUUCCAGCUGCUGAAGCGACUGCAGCGAAGGCGUCGCAGACACCGGGCGAUGCUGCCUAAAACGUGGGAAGUACAGAGUCCCUGACACAGGAAUUUCUGAAGAGCACCUUGCCAACAAGUGAUGGAAUGGAACAACAUGCCACUGGAUGAUACCGUCAUGUCAGCAUCACGGAGUGCACUCACCCUCUCCUGUGUGCUACAACCUCCUUCCUGUGCUCUGUGGUUGGUCCAGCACAGCCGUGUAAGGGUCUCCACCAGGGAAAGAAAGCAGUAUUGGUGUCUGUGAAGACAACCCAGAGAGAUGCACUGUGAGUCUCCAACCUCAGCAUGAGUUGUCACAUUGGAAGGCCCCUGUCAGUGCCUGCUUCUGCUGAUUGGGAUGGCAAAGAAGAUAAAGGCGGAAGCAGGAACUGUGAAGGUGUUGAAAGGCAGACCUAGCACAGGGAGAGGAGGCCCAGGCAGAAGCCCAGUUUCCUAUGAGCUGAUGAGCCUCCUGGAGAUUUAUAAUCUGACUGCUUGACCUUGACUUCCAACAAUAGGAAGUCAUAGCCUUCCAUAGCCCCAGGGCUGAGGGAGUACUGGUCCCUUGUGUUGUUGUGCAC
rnacentral:lncRNA from 1 species